CUGGAGACGAGCAAGAAGGAACAACAACAUCUUCAAUUCUUCACCCGCUUAGGCAAUUGGGGAAAUCCCAGAAAAAUCAACAAGUCAGGAACAAAAAAACUACUGCUACCCCCUAGCACUUCAAUUCUUCAGCCCCUUCACCUCUCUUAAAAGGAAAUCUGCAAAAACAAAAUGUGUCGCAGAAACUAGAUACAGGUUAAGAAACAAUCAGUAGACAAAAACUAGAUACUCUGGAAAUAAUUCAUCACUAGCAGUAGGCAGAACUUGGAUAAUUUUAUAAUUUACACUGCAAGAACACGUAGUGCCUGAUUGAGUCUAGAAAGAACAGUAGCACACCAAGAAUUACAGUGGAAAAUCCCCUAGUAAUUACACUAAAAACUGACUAAACAGACCAAGAAUUACAGUGCAAAAAUCCCCUAGUAAUUACAUAGUAAUUCCCAGUGCAAAUUGCAUAGAAAUUACAGUGGAAAUUGCAGAAAUUACAGUGAAAAUUGCAUGGAAAUUUCAGUGGAAAAUGCCAUAGAAAUUUCAGUGUAUGAAUGUUAAAAUGCAUCAAAACUUAGACUGGAACAAACCUACUGUAUUUACACUGUUAAAAUACUACUGCAAAUUGUACUGUUACUCACACUGUUAAGCUUACCCAUUAAACUGAACCUAUAAAUCACAAUGCUAAAAGCAUGAAUAUUACACUGUAAAUUAGGGCAAAGAUUACACUGUAAAAUACAUAUAAUAAGCAACACGGUAAAACUAGGGGUACACUGUAAAAAUUCAGAAUAAAGACUAGGGGUACAGUGAAAAUUAGCAUGACAGAUUACAUAACUGAAUCAAUGUAAAUACAUUGCAAAAAUCUGGGAAUAUACAUUGUAGCUACAAUGUAAACCAUCGUAAUUCUAGGGGAAAUUACACUGGAAUCAGUAAAUUGUGUAAAUUACACUGAAAACUAAGGACAAGAUACACUGAACUAUAUGAUGAAUUACACAGUGGUUAUUGGGCAAAAAUACAAUUUAAUUCUAGGGUGAAUUACACUGAAGCUACAAAACAGUAAUUCUGCUUUGAAUUACACAGUAAAACUACGGCAUGAAUUACACUGAAACUGCAUAAUGAAUUACAUAGUAAAAUACAGCAUGAAUUACAAAGUAAUUCUACAUUGAAUUACACUGGAGCUGCAUGAUGAAUUACACAAUAAUUCUAUAGUAAAUUACAAUGUAACUACAUGAUGAAUUACACAGUAAAAAUGGGGCAAACAUACACAGUAAAUACUAGUAAUUAUGUGAAGAAACACUGAAACUAUGGGCUGACUUACACAGAAACUACCAUGUAAUUUGCAUAGUAAGUCUGAAGAUUACACAAUAAGUCUGAGGCAAAAAUAUACAGUAAAAAUACUAGUAAUUACAGAGUGAAAAACAGGACCUCGCUCAAUACUACUGCCACAGAGACACACUUGCACAUGAAAAAAAGAAAUAAAUGCAAGAAACUACAUGAAGUACAGAGCUAAAAGCAUGGAAAUCACUGUAAAAAAUGAGAGGUCAAUCAUCUGACAUAUACUGUGUAAGACCUACAAAUUUACAGUACUGAAGCAUACAAAUUACAGUGUAAAUCUGCAGUAUAUUACAGUAUAAGCCCUACAUCAAUUCAGAGGUAAAAUCCACUAUACUCAGUCCAAAAAUUACUGUGUAAAUCAUACAACAUUUACAGUGCUGAAGCAUACAAAUUACAGUGUAAAUCUGCGGUAUAUUACAGUGUAAGCCCUACAGCAAUUCAGUGAUGAAGCAUAGAAAUUACACUGUAAUAUACAGUUUUGAAGCAUAUAAAUUGCAGUGUAAAUCUGGGGUAGAUACAGUGAUGAAGCAUAGAAAUUACACUGUAAUUAUGAGGUAUACUACAGUUGGUAAAUUACAGUGCAAAUAUUAGGCAUAUUACAAUGGAAUCAUGUCCUAUAUUAUAGUGUAAAUCACAGUUAAAUUCCACUAUAGUUCGUGGAAAAUAAGAUGCAUGACAAUUAGCAUAAACAGAAACAUUUCAAUGGCAUCAGACUACUACUGGGAUGAUCUACUGGAAUAAACAGAAACUAGAUUUGCAAUUUGCACACUAAAACUAUGUGGAUUACACAGUAAGACUCAGGCAAAAAUACACAUCAACGGCACAAAGGAAAAGAUACAAACCUGCAUCACACACACACAAUUACCAUGGCAUUAAGAAGAAGGAACCUAAGUACAUCUAAACCAACACUAAGAGCGAUUUAUCCACUCACAUGAUAAAAGGGACCUGCAACAGCGGGCACAGGAGGAACCCUAGAAACCAACACAGCCAGAGGAGGCAACACCCAUCUACCAGUGAACAAACAAACCACCUACCAAUGCAAAUCACAAACCCAAAACCACAAAAACUCCCAUCUCAAAACCCUAUAACUGAUCCAUACAUCUAUCUGAAUCACAAAAACUGAACACGUUGAACCUACCACGAGUAGACGAGGAACAAAAUGGCGGACAACACGAAGCAGAUGAUGAACGACAGCGGGACGACGCGAACCAGAACGAACCACUAAAACUACAAGCACCUACCAUGAAUCUACAACAACACGGCCCCGGAUCACAACACACACCUACCACGAACCCUAUCAAAAUCACAUCAGCAACUGACCCCUAGAUAUGGAAGCUACACACUGAGAAAUGAACAAAAUCACGCGCUCGAGAGAGAAAUUGAGAGACCAACCAACCGCAGGAGGCGAUAAAUCGAAGAGAAAUGAGAAAGAAAUCAAGCUCCACAGGUGGGGGGGGGUCUGGGAAUCGACAUGAACAGAAAGGAAUCGCCUCCGUCGCCCGAGCGCCCGUUCCUCCCUCUUCCUCCCUAUCUCCUCUCUCCCUUAUCGCUACAGUGCCACUCAAAUGAAAGGGGAAAACCACGCCCAAAAUUCAAUAAGGACAAAAACCGGAAGAGGCAGAGAG
rnacentral:lncRNA from 1 species